AGUAGACACAAGACAAGUUCAUUCAUAAUUCAAAAGGAUUGUACACCAUAAACACUGCAUAAACAAAUACAAAAGAGAACCAUAACAAACAUUGCCAACUGGGGGAAAGAUUAAUUAGGGUAGGAAGAAUAGGUGAAACCCAAGAGGACUUAGAAAGAGGGAGGCUGAGGGGCUAGGGAAUGAAGGACCGAUGUCAUGCACUCAUUUCAGCCGCAUGAGCAUUUAGCAAUUGUUUGGUCAGGUUCUUCACUUAACCAGAGAGACUCUUAUUUUAGCAGUUAAGGCAUCAACUUGUGACUUCAAAUCAACAUUUUCCUUGUGAAGAGUUUCCUCACUACAUGGUCCCUGAGUCUGGCCUUACUUCAAAGUGGCUUUUAAUCGAGAAAUUCCAGCAUCGGCCCCCUGCCAUUGCAACAGUCAUCUCUUCCAGAUCUGCCUUCAGCUUCUUUUGCUGUUCGAGGAGGUCUGACACUUGGGACAUCACUUUAUUGCUU
rnacentral:lncRNA from 1 species